GACGAACCGAGCGAACGUUAUUCGGAAUCACUGGGCUUAAAGGGCGCGUAGGCGGGCGAUCAAGUCAGGGGUGAAAGCCCCCAGCUCAACUGGGGAAGUGCCUCUGAUACUGGUCAUCUUGAGGGAGGUAGGGGCGUGCGGAACUUCCGGUGGAGCGGUGAAAUGCGUAGAUAUCGGAAGGAACACCGGUGGCGAAAGCGGCGCGCUGGACCUCUUCUGACGCUGAGGCGCGAAAGCCAGGGGAGCGAACGGG
rnacentral:rRNA from 1 species